UACGUAGGCAGCGAGCGUUGUUCGGAAUUACUGGGCGUAAAGAGUGUGUAGGCGGUGCUCUAAGUUCGGUGUGAAAUCUCCCGGCUUAACUGGGAGGGUGCGCCGGAAACUGGAGUGCUCGAGCGUGGGUGAGGAAAGCGGAAUUCCUGGUGUAGCGGUGAAAUGCGUAGAUAUCAGGAGGAACACCUGCGGUGUAGACGGCUUUCUGGACCAUUGCUGACGCUGAGACACGAAAGCGUGGGUAGCAAACAGG
rnacentral:rRNA from 1 species